rnacentral:sRNA from 1 species
CCUGCAGUUGUUCUUAUCCUCCGCUUAUUCCGUCGAGUG